rnacentral:rRNA from 1 species
GACGAACGCUGGCGGCGUGCCUAAUACAUGCAAGUAGAACGCUGAAGCGAGGAGCUUGCUCUUCUUGGAUGAGUUGCGAACGGGUGAGUAACGCGUAGGUAACCUGCCUUGUAGCGGGGGAUAACUAUUGGAAACGAUAGCUAAUACCGCAUAACAAUGGAUGACACAUGUCAUUUAUUUGAAAGGGGCAAUUGCUCCACUACAAGAUGGACCUGCGUUGUAUUAGCUAGUAGGUGAGGUAAUGGCUCACCUAGGCGACGAUACAUAGCCGACCUGAGAGGGUGAUCGGCCACACUGGGACGGAGACACGGCCCAGACUCCUACGGGAGGCAGCAGUAGGGAAUCUUCGGCAAUGGGGGCAACCCUGACCGAGCAACGCCGCGUGAGUGAAGAAGGUUUUCGGAUCGUAAAGCUCUGUUGUAAGUCAAGAACGGGUGUGAGAGUGGAAAGUUCAUACUGUGACGGUAGCUUACCAGAAAGGGACGGCUAACUACGUG